CUAGAGAUGAUUUAAAAUAUAUGGGAGGAGGGGCAUAGAUUAUAUGCAAAUACUAUGACAUUUUGUAUGGGAGACUUGAGCAUCCCAGAUUUGGGUAUCCAGGGAGCCCUGGACCCAAUCCCUCGAAUACAGAGGGACUACCGUAUUUGGGGUUUUUUCUUCAGGUUUCAACAGCACACACUGUGUUGCAGUGAACAUUCUUGCACAUACCUCUUUGUGCACGAGUGUGAGCAUAAGCAGACACGCACACACAUGACAGGGGUUGUGUAGACUGCAUUACCCAUCUGUAAGCAUUCACUCCACCCCUACUCCAAACUUCACGGGAGGUGUAGGCCUCCCUGCCCCACUGACACCGGGCUUGGCCACAGGACUGGCUCUGCCCAAUGGAAUGGGGGCAGGCGUGAUGGUGGCCAGUUCUGUGCCUAGGCCUUCAGGGGCCUGGAAUGUUUCUGCUUGUCCCUCUUGUGCUUUGGCUAUCACCAGGAGAACAACAUUACCCAGGGAGCUACAGGUCCCAGGAGGACAGGAGACAAGGCCUGGAGCUCAGCCCAGCCAUGCCCAGCCUGGAUCAGCCCCGCCUGCUGAACUGCAGGUGCUGGGCUACUGGAACACUCCAGCUCGAAACAUGUGAACAAUGAUCUUUAGACCGACUCCCGUGUGGUAAGAGACGGUGUGCGCCCUGUCCCAUGUGAUAGAUGGGGCUGUCCAGGCAUUGAGGCGUGAAAUCACUUAGCAGGUCACACAGGGUGCCCCUGGGGGACUAGGAAGACUCCGGAGCUGCGCUGCCCCUCCACUGGAAGCAACAGCCCCAGGGGUCAACAGCCCCCAUAGCAGCAUGUGUGUGGGCACCACCUGGCCUGUCUGCGGCCACAGAUCAUUGACUUGAGAGCCCCGCCGUUUUAUCAUCUUGGGAGCCUUUUCCAAGCAGGACCCACAGCCCCCCUACAAGCAGCUCCAAUCCCCAGGGGGCUGCCAGGGGCUUAAGAUUGGCUGUGAAAACUCGUAAGAUAGAAAGCCCGGGGAAAGAAGAAUUUCCCAUCGGAUUGAAGUUGACUGUUUUCCAUUCAGCCCUCAGACAGCCAAUCUUUUCACCAAAGAACUGCAUUUUUCAAACUCUUUUUUCCCCCUGGUCCUCCAGCGGCCUCUUAGAUGGGAUGGCGGGAAAGCCUCCCUGGGUGAGAAGAUGCUCAGGGCCAGUGUUGGGGUUCGCCACCUGGGCCCCCCACCUCCUUCCUCAGCCACUCAUGGAAGGCCAAGGGGAGGAAAAUUGACUUAACACAGGGGCUCCGUGGACACCUCCGCAGAGAAGUUCGUCUUUUGUUGGGGGGAAGCCCAGACCGGAUCUCGGAGCUGGGAAAUAGAUCUGUUUGCUCGCUGUCCCCACUCGCCUCUCGGUUCAUCUGUCUCUGUUAGCUCAGUGCUGAUAAUUCUGUCGAGUUGGAGCGCUCGCCUGGCUUGGCAGUGAAUUGAGUCGAGAAGGUUUUUCCAUGAAGAAACAUAGAUGCCGUUGUCAGAGUUGGGGCGGGGGAGGGGGAGGUGGCUUCACGUAGUGGGUUGGAGCCAUCGGGGUCUUCAGGCCCAGCAGAGAGGAUGCGCACCUGUGCAUCAGCUUGUGGCAACUGCUCGCCUGCAGGGAAGAGAUGAGCUGAGAAAACGGUACUGUCCUGGAUGUCUGGCUGGAGAGAACCACUGCAUCUUUCUGUAUCAGGCAUUAGAGGAAGGCCUCAUUCAUUUUUAAACUGUUGCAGAGUGUUCCAUUGUAGGCAUGUGGUGUGGCAGCCAUGAUGGCAUAGGAGGUGGCCAUUGAGUGAAUGAGUGUGGGCACAGGGCUGGUGGUCCACAGGCCGAUCAGUGAUUUAGGAGGUGCUGAGCACAAAGCCUUGCCCAAUUCGUAUACCAACAUUCACCUCCGGGCCAGCACAGUCUCUUCCUACAAGGCAGGUGCUGUCACCAUUUUAUAGAUGAGUAAACUGAGGCACAGAGAAGUGAAGAAACUUGCCCAAGAUCACACAGCUAAUAAGUGGGAGAGCCAGGAUGCAAACCCAGGCCUGACUGACCCCAAAGACACCCAUGCCUGUAACUACCGCCUCUCUAGAUGGCCCAGGACUCUGGAAAUUUGCCCAAGUCAUGCUGUGGAUAGAGAAGAUAAGAAAACGUGGAGUCUCUUGGAGUCCCAGGUCUUACGGUAACCUCCCUGUCCACACUCAACAGCUUUAAGUGGCCAGGGUGGGACUCUGGCUGUGGUCAGCAGCCUGAUCUGAAGCCCUUGGCUUUUGGUUCGCUUUUGCCUAAAGUAACCAGAUAAUUGCAGCUGAAGCGAGUCACUCAGCUGGAAUUGCAGAAGCCAAGUGCCUCCCUACUGGACUUGCUCUUCUGCAGUCUUUGCUCUUCUGUUACCCUCUCUGGAAUGAUCACUGCCAAAGCCAGGACCCAGGUCCUCAAAUAGCAAAAAUAACUAUACUGAUAACAAUAGCAAUUAUUUACAAAGUACUUACUAUAUGCCAAAG
rnacentral:lncRNA from 1 species